rnacentral:misc_RNA from 1 species
GAAAUGCGAUACGUAGUGUGAAUUGCAGAAUUCCGUGAAUCAUCGAAUCUUUGAACGUAAAUUACACUUUCCAGUAUUCUGGGGAGUAUGCCUGGUUGAGGGUCAUUCAAUAAACAUCGUGUAUAUAAUUUAUUUGUGUACGCGGAAUUGAGUUUUCCAAUAUUUAUGUUGGUGACUUUAAAAUAAUUUUUUUUCAAGUUGAAAACGUACUAUAAUAGUUUGUUGACAACUUGGAUCCUUACACGUGUUCUGUUCGUUUUAAAUAAUGGAUGUUCAAGUGUAUUUUUUUUUGUGACCUCAACUCAAGCAAGAUUACCCGCUGAACUUAA